UGGACUCUGGGGGAAGCGGAGAGCCGGGUUUCUUUUUACCGGGUAUUUUUGAGGCUCGAGAUUUAUUAAGCACUGACUGAGCCCUGUCAUAUUCCACGUCCUUGGCAGGGCACCGAAAAGGAUGACACAACGAAUGCAGACUACUCUGGAGAAGCUUGGCAAUGAGAGGGUCGAGAGAGGGGGUUUGUUGGUCCUUAGGUUUGUAAAGAAAGGAGAGGCUGGGAGAAAGGAGUCAGUGGAGAGGUCCCUGGGGAGGUAGGAUGCUCUGCAUGCGAUGCAGAACUCAGGAAAACGGAUUAAAUUUAGACUAGAGGCAGGUCACCUGUUAUUCCACUAAAACGGUAGGAAACAAGAACAUGCGUGCAGAUAUAUAGGGGGGAAGAAAAUCAGGGAGAUCGUUUGAUGACAUCGAUUUUAUGGGUGAAGUUAUGAGACAAGGAAGGAGACCAAGAAGAGCAAAGAAACUUUGGAAGAGGACGCUGAAGUUGGAAGGCCUGGUUUCAUGUGCCUCAUGUAUGUGUUGAUGGAUCACUUUUUUCUAGAACUCAGCCACCAGGCUGCAGUAGCAGAUAUUUUGAAUUAUAGCAUUUAUCCAGGGCUUGGGAUUGCAUUGCCCAAAAUAAAUUGAGGGUGCUAUGAGACGACAGCCCAGGCCAUCAAACGUGGGAUACAGACUGGCUAGGGACUGAUGGAGGAGCCACGAAACUGCAGGUCUCUGAUAAUUGAAGGCCAGUGCAGUGCAGGCAAUGUUGUGAGAGCUUGGUGGUUAAAGUGGCAAACAGGUUCAUAGUGAAGUAGCACUAGGAGAUGAGAAAAGUCCAGGACAGCCGGCCAGCCCUUGUCUUUUGAGGGGACUCUUACUGACCUGUAACCCCUGAGUUAGAGAGAAGGUAGUAAAGCCUAUGAAAUAAAGCACUCAUAGUACUCAGUAAACUACAGCACCCACCAGGUUUGGAUGGAGCUAUAACAUUAGCUAUAACCAGAAAUACAGACGUCUUGAAAAAGCUGAGCACUGGAGCAUGGUCCAUUUUAGACCCACUUCAGGUUUUGCAGUCAGAUUCAGAGGGACUUAGUGUGGUGCUGUCUCAGACAAGGAACAUGAAGAACAGGAAGGGAAUAAAUGCUGUCUACCGUAGCUUCAAGAGCACAGGGGAACAGACUCAGGAGGCAGUGCGGUAUCAUGGCAGGGCAGGAAGAGGAGGACACCUCCAGUGCUAGUCCGAUGAAUUGGGUCAAGCACCGGUCUCAACACAUCCACGCUCUGUGAGCUCUGGUUUCCUCACCUGUGAAGAAGGGCUAAUAACACCCAGUAUGCAAGGCAGGCGGUGGAACCGAAUCCCAGCCAUGCAACUUGUGUGCUGUGCAACGAUGGCAAGUUAACCUGAGCCUGUUUCCUCAUGAGAAAUGAUUACCUUGGAAGCUGCUUCUAACAAUGUGACUAGAACCUUUAGGAAAAACACAUAGCACAAGCUUGCCACAGAAGAGAGGCUCAACAAAUAGAAAAACUUGAUUUCCAGCGCUCUUGUUGGGAAUAAAUGGAAGUCACUGUGAAUAUUGCAUACUGCCGAGAAGAGGAAAAAAAUCAAGUUUCUUGCCUAGGACUUUCUGUGCAGCUCCUAUGUCUUAGAAGAUGUGUUUGGCUCCCUUUUGUGAAAGGCUUUUCCUUCAGUUUAUUUACCUGUGUGAACAGAAUUCAAAAUUCUUUCAUCAUUUCGCUAAAGCUCAGUGAGGAGUGUCAACUCCACAAGCCAAAAAGCCUAAUCCUACGUUGGCAGCCAGAUUACACACAUCUGAAAUUGAACCACCAGAAAUACCAUACCCAGAAAAUCAUUUGAUCUGUGAACUGAAUCCUGUGAGGGUUCCGGGCCUCCUCAAGGCAGAAAGGGUUCAAUUUGAAAGGCGGUUAUUAGCCCUGUCCCAUGAGAGGGAGCGGGAGAUCCACAUCUUUCCUGGGAGCCUCGUGCCUUGCACACACCAUCGAAAACCUGUUCAUCUGCACUGGAAGCAGCAUGCAAAUAAAACGUUUUGGCUC
rnacentral:lncRNA from 10 species